ACAAAUACUGGGAUCAGUGAAUAAAAAAACAAAAAAAAAUAUUUGCAUAUUUGUGAAAAAACCAGGAGUUCUAUAAAAAAAGCUUGACGCUUAAGUUUAUAUCCCAUUCGUUAUUUACGUAUGUUGCCGCCAACGAAAGUUAGAGCCUUUUUUUAAUGAAGAAAUACAUAUGUACAAAUGUAGCUUUUAUUAGGCUUCUAUAUGUAUAUACUAGUACAUACUCGAAUGUACAUAUUUAUCUGCUGAGUUGCAUCUACCUGUAUACGUAUAUACGUAUAAAACCACAUAAUGUGCAUUGGCUUUGGCUGCCACUUAACAGGAGAGUGUGUGAUCAUGCCUGACAGCCUGGUUGGCGAACAUUGCCAUCGCUGCGACUGACAUAUUGCUGCGAUUGCUGCUUUCUUCAAUAUAUUUUUGUUGCUGCGGUAAAAAAAAAA